UACGAGUGCCUCAAGCGUUAUCCGGAAUUACUGGGCGUAAAGCGUGCGCAGGCGGUUAUGCAAGACAGAUGUGAAAUCCCCGGGCUCAACCUGGGAACUGCAUUUGUGACUGCAUAGCUAGAGUGCGGCAGAGGGAGAUGGAAUUCCGCGUGUAGCAGUGAAAUGCGUAGAUAUGCGGAGGAACACCGAUGGCGAAGGCAAUCUCCUGGGCCUGCACUGACGCUCAUGCACGAAAGCGUGGGGAGCAAACAGG
rnacentral:rRNA from 1 species